AUAGCGUGUGGUAAUAGUUUUGCUCAUAUUCAGGCUACUCCGUGAGGUUUCGGGCUAGGCGCAAGGCCGUUUUAAUCCCUCGGCCUUUGGCUGUACGAGUUCGAUUCUCGUUCCGGGUACCA
rnacentral:tRNA from 1 species